rnacentral:tRNA from 1 species
AGGAUUUUAAGUUAUGUUUAAACUAAAGGCCUUCAAAGCCUAAAAAAAAAGAAAUGUCUUUUAAAUCCUA